rnacentral:tRNA from 3 species
GCCUUCGUAGCUCAAUGGAUAGAGCGGCGGUCUUCGGAACCGUUGAUGGGGGUUCGAUUCCUCUCGAAGGCG